GGUAAUGAGUGUCAGCGUGCAGCCCUGGCUUGCUGGCCGGCAACCCUCCUUCGCGGCGGGGUGCUCCAGGUGACGACCUGGUGAUCGCCGAUCGGCGGUCGCAAGCGCGAGUC
rnacentral:ncRNA from 2 species